rnacentral:rRNA from 1 species
GACGAACGCUGGCGGCGUGCUUAACACAUGCAAGUCGAGCGGUAAGGCCCUUUGGGGUACACGAGCGGCGAACGGGUGAGUAACACGUGAGUAAUCUGCCUUUGGCUUGGGAAUAACUUCGGGAAAUUGGGGCUAAUGCCUGAUGUUUACUGUCUGCUGCAUGGUGGGUGGUGGAAAGAUUUUUUGGCCAGGGAUGAGCUCGCGGUCUAUCAGCUUGUUGGUGGGGUAAUGGCUACCUAAGGCUUUGACGGGUAGCCGGCCUGAGAGGGUGUUCGGCCACACUGGGACUGAGACACGGCCCAGACUCCUACGGGAGGCAGCAGGUGGGGAAUAUUGCGCAAUGGGCGUAAGCCUGACGCAGCGACGCCGCGGUGGGGA